rnacentral:rRNA from 1 species
AACGAACGCUGGCGGCAGGCCUAACACAUGCAAGUCGAACGAGACCUUCGGGUCUGGUGGCGCACGGGUGCGUAACGCGGGGGAACCUGCCCUUAAGUUCGGAAGAACUCCCCGAAAGGCGUGCGAAUACCGGAGAAUGUCCUCGGACCAAAGGUUUGUCGCCUUUGGAUGGGCCUGCGUGGGAUUGGCUAGUUGUUAGGGUAAAAGCCUACCAAGGCGACGAUCCAUAGCUGGUCUGAGAGGAUGAUCCGCCACACUGGGACUGAGACACGGCCCAGACUCUUACGGAAGGCGGCAGUGGGUGAUAUUGCCAAGUCGGCGGAAGCCUGAUGCAGCACUGACGCGUAAGUAAUGAAGGUCUUAGGGUUGUGCAGCUAUUUUACCCGGGGUGAUAAUGACAGUACCGGGAGAAUAAGCUCCGGCUAACUCCGUG